AUUGAACGCUGGCGGCAGGCCUAACACAUGCAAGUCGAACGGUAACAGGAAGAAGCUUGCUUCUUUGCUGACGAGUGGCGGACGGGUGAGUAAUGUCUGGGAAACUGCCUGAUGGAGGGGGAUAACUACUGGAAACGGUAGCUAAUACCGCAUAACGUCGCAAGACCAAAGAGGGGGACCUUCGGGCCUCUUGCCAUCGGAUGUGCCCAGAUGGGAUUAGCUAGUAGGUGGGGUAACGGCUCCCCUAGGCGACGAUCCCUAGCUGGUCUGAGAGGAUGACCAGACACACUGGAACUGAGACACGGUCCAGACUCCUACGGGAGGCAGCAGUGGGGAAUAUUGCACAAUGGGCGCAAGCCUGAUGCAGCCAUGCCGCGUGUAUGAAGAAGGCCUUCGGGUUGUAAAGUACUUUCAGCGGGGAGGAAGGGAGUAAAGUUAAUACCUUUGCUCAUUGACGUUACCCGCAGAAGAAGCACCGGCUAACUCCGUG
rnacentral:rRNA from 1 species